rnacentral:lncRNA from 1 species
GUCAUACUUGUAGUCACUUUAGUUGUUUGAAGAACUGAAUUCAAGCAAUAAAAAGAAAGAAAUCUAUACCUAAAGGUACGUUACUAGAAUCUACUGAUUUUAUAUAAAAGUAAAUUAAUAUAAAAUCAUUUAAAUAUGAUAAAUAAUCGCAAAGUCAUUAUCAUUUAAUGAUAAUUGUAGAUCCAAAAUUGUACUCCAUUUUCAUGCAAAUGAGGAAUUUAGUCCAUUAAAUAAUACGGCUGGAUACAUAUAUUUUAUUGUAUUCUCCUCUCUCCAAUCAUCCAGCCAGCUGGACAUUUUACACGAUUUUUUAAGGUAUUUUUACAUGGAUGAGUGAAUUUAGCCAAUUUGUCCAGCCUGCUGUAUGUCUCUUCUUUUUCGAGCAUUUUUUUCAUGAACACUUCAGACACUGUGAGCCCUUCAGUAUCAAUUAUAAUAUAGCUGUUCCCAAUCCAUCGACAUCUGGUGAAUGCAUUCACAGAAAUGAUCUACAGAUGGCAUCUAAACUGUUUACUAGUUUACUGUUAGUCAU